rnacentral:misc_RNA from 1 species
UCAACCCCAUCCUGAGCUGCCUGCAAAUGCACAAACAUCAGUGUAUAUGCCCAAGGGUCCAAGUAUGAUCCCUAGAAAUUGGCUAAUUUUGUUUCUAAAUAUAAAUAGUUUUAGCUGUGGUGCAUACUAAAUAUAAGCACAUAGAAAAAGAAGUUGAAUAAAUAAAUGCUAAAUUUCAAUUAUAGUCGGGAAAUAAUUUAAGGAACUAAUUCUGUUAGUCAUCAUUUAUAAAAGUUAAUGUGUUUCCAUGUAGUAUGACCCUCGCGAUGCAACUUGUGCCAAUCUAAUACAAAUUAUUCUAAUGGUUAAGAAUUUCAUACUGAUUUCCUGCCUGUUUGGCAUUGAGUUUGGACGGUUCAAACUGUUUUUCUAAAUAAAAGCAUCAUUUUAGAUGCUAUCGAAAAAAAAGUUUGAAAAAAGUUGUUUUG